GACGGGACCCGCACAAGCGGUGGAUGAUGUGGUUUAAUUCGAUGCAACGCGAAAACCUUACCCACCUUUGACAUGUACGGAAGUUGCCAGAGAUGGCUUCGUGCUCGAAAGAGAGCCGUAACACAGGUGCUGCAUGGCUGUCGUCAGCUCGUGUCGUGAGAUGUUGGGUUAAGUCCCGCAACGAGCGCAACCCUUGUCAUUAGUUGCUACGAAAGGGCACUCUAAUGAGACUGCCGGUGACAAACCGGAGGAAGGUGGGGAUGACGUCAAGUCCUCAUGGCCCUUAUAGGUGGGGCUACACACGUCAUACAAUGGCUGGUACAAAGGGUUGCCAACCCGCGAGGGUGAGCCAAUCCCAAAAAGCCGGCCCCAGUACAGAUAGGAGUCUGCAACUCGACUCCUUGAGGGCGGAAUCGCUAGUAAUCGCUGAUCAGCUGGCAGCGGUGAAUACGUUCCCGGGUCUU
rnacentral:rRNA from 1 species